rnacentral:lncRNA from 1 species
AUGCAUGUAUGUACGGUAGACCGCACGUCAGUGGUAACUGUCAUGCACCUUAACUCAAUAGUAAUAAGUACGAUUUUCCUAUAAAACUGUUACCACUGACCUGAAGUUGACUGUACCUACUUUUUUAGCUAUAAGAUUAUAGAACUUGAAAUAUUUGCAUGACUAAUUAUAAGUCGAAUAUAGUGAAACCAUAUUUUUUUAUUGUAUCGACCAUCAUAUUGUACCUAUAUUCUGGCAAAUAAAUAAAUUUCAUUUCAUUUCAUU